AUGUAGAUGAGAGGCCGCAGUCAUUAUGAGUAUCUAUUUUUUAGAAAAAGGGAUGAUUGCCGAAAUACUUUUUUUGUAUUGGGAUUGCAUUUAAUAGAUGUAAUACUGUCAGGAAAGAUUGCCCGAUCUUUUUUGGAGCACUCGCUGCAUU
rnacentral:ncRNA from 2 species